UUUAAGUAUAUAAUUGAGAAAAAAUAAUUAAUGAUUUUAAUUGAGGGGGCCUUGACAGUUUUAUAUUAAAGUUAGGGGGCCCUGUGUCAAAAAAGUUUGAGAAGCACUGUCAUAGACAAUACCCGAGCUAUCAAUAAGAGACACAUUUUAAGAUUCAAGUUUCAUUAUAAUAUAGAAGAUAGAACUAUCGUAGAACUAUAUAAUCUCAGUAAUAAUGUGGUAUAAUUGUUGUAUACCUACUACUAUUGUGACAUUAAUACAUUAUUAAACGUCCACACGACAUGUCUAUUAACGUACCUAUCGUAGUAAGGGACAAGAGUCAUUUUUAUUAAUUAUAUAAUUUUAUUCAUGGCAAGAGUGAAGACAUUGAUGUGUAAACAAGUGGAUUUCCCUUGACUAAAAAAAAAUGAUUAUGCUUUUCUUCUCAGUCCACUAGUCCAGAGAAUGGGUUAGCUAGAGAACUGAUCAUUGUAUAUUUCUCUACUCUGACAAUAAUUAUUAUCUUAAGAGGAUGUCAGCGCAGUCUUUGUUUUCUCUUUCAGAUAGACCUACGAGCAACAUAGAAAAACGUAUUCAAUUACCAGUUACCACGAGAAUUCGAUGGAGCUCUGGGGGCAUCAAUUUUCCGACUAUCUUACCAAGAUUUUCGGGAUAGUCGUAUAGCACCUGACAACGUCAAUCAAACCACAACGCUCCAUCCGUUUUUCCAGGUUACCCACUAGGCAAAGUUGGGUUUUUGGAAUCAAAAUACAGCCACAAAUCAGCAUUUUGCAAUAUUUCAAGAAUAAGCCGACAGUACGCCGCAAGCCGGCGAUUCUUAAUGACGCCCGAGGCCCGACAUAUACUAGAGUCGCAAGAUGAACAGACGCUGUAGGGUAUGGCUCUACAAAAACCAACAACCGAAUAAAUACAAAUAGGUACCUACCUAAUAAUAUUGAAGCAACAAUAAUUUGGGUUGGUCUCGCUCGUCCGUUUACUCUCGCCUCUUGGUCCAACGAUGUCCAAUCAGUCCACAGUUGUGGGAAACACGUAGCCCCUUUUGUAAGUGCGUAGUAUAUACUACUACUAACUCGUCUGCGCCGUACGGAAACUCGUCGAAGGAUACUGCAAUAUGUUUUGGAUCGAAUCCGUCUUAAUUUUCUUCUUUCUGUUCGGAGAAACCCCGAUCAUCUAGAAACCUUCCCGGAUAAAAUUUAAGAUCGUUCAUGAUGACUAUUGAAAUGGGAAAACCAUCUUUCAACGUGGUUUCCUAAUAUUAAGUAAAUAGAACCAAGCGCGUCCGCAGUAUAAAAACCCACCCGGGGCAAAAAAAAAAAUAUUAAUAAAUUGUCCUUUUGCCCUCCCUCAUUAACAGAACAAGUGGCGUCUCUCUAGAGAACGAAGCACCGAAAAAUGAAACUGUUAGUUUUAGUUGUUAAUUUCAGUAGUAUACUUCGAUCACAACUUACUAUUACAACCACGAGAAAAAAAUUGUUAUUUUAUAAACUUAUAUUGGUGGCCGGUGGUCCACCAUUCUACCUCAGUGGAUCAGUGCCUCCAAACAAUCAUUGAUGAGUGAAUAAAGAUUGCAGUGUUAUAUUAUCAUAUGAUCUCUACAUCUUGGUGAACAUUUAUGAACCAUAUGAUGCACAGUAUAUAUUUCAGUACUUAUACUUACUCUUAAUCCCUUAAAUAUUUUGUUUUAUGUUAUUGCUUAUUAUAAUGUAUCCAACCAUCUACCAUACCACCAAAAAAUGUCCACCAUGAUGGCUAGAACUCGUGACUACAAAGAUCGAAAAUAUGUAUAAAUUUAUAUUUUAUGUUAUAAUAUUGAGUUUCACUAGAAACUGUUCUCUGUAUAAUUUUUGAUGGUUGUUGUUAACUCACUUCAGUGUAAUUAUUCAAAAUACAAAAUUACAAAAUAUAUACAAAUAACGCUUA